rnacentral:rRNA from 1 species
UACAGAGACUGCAAGCGCUAUUCGGAUUCACUGGGCGUAAAGGGUGCGCAGGCGGCCGUAUGUGUGAGGCGUGAAAGCCCGGGGCUUAACCCCGGAAUUGCACCUCAAACUAUACGGCUAGAGCAUUGGAGAGGGUAGCAGAAUUCAUGGUGUAGCAGUGAAAUGCGUAGAUAUCAUGAGGAAUACCAGAGGCGAAGGCGGCUACCUGGACAAUUGCUGACGCUCAGGCACGAAGCGUGGGAGCAA